UUUACCCUUCUCCUAUUCCACUAA
rnacentral:piRNA from 1 species